rnacentral:rRNA from 1 species
GCAAGUCGAACGGCAGCAGCAGAAAGCUUGCUUUCUGGCUGGCGAGUGGCGGACGGGUGAGUAAUGCAUAGGAAUCUGCCUAGUAGUUGGGGAUAACUUGGGGAAACUCAAGCUAAAACCGAAUGCGCCCUACGGGGGAAAGCAGGGGAGUUUCGGACCUUGCGGUAUUAGAUGAGCCUAUGUCCGAUUAGCUUGUUGGCGGGGUAAUGGCCCACCAAGGCGACGAUCGGUAGCUGGUCUGAGAGGAUGAUC